ACAUGCCUGGCUCCCUGUAUGCCACUCGGCUAUACCAAUCCGAUGGAGUUGAUUGGUUGAAUCGGGUGGCGUACGAGGAGCGAAGCAUGU
rnacentral:pre_miRNA from 1 species